CAGAAGGAUGCAGCCUUACCCACACUAUAUAGUAUGAGGUGUUACUUUUUGUAUGCUCUUGUUUUUCAGAUGGAGGUUCUGACCCCUGCGCUGAGUUAGAGAUAAGGAGAACUCACUGAUGAUGAGACCCCCAGGCUUCCACAGAAGAACAAAGUCAAACAUGAGAGAGCAAGAGAGCAUGGAGUGAGGUAGAGAGAACUGCGAUGUAGAGUGCCUG